UUCUCCUACUUUCUUCAUCCUUGGGGCCUCUUUCGCACUGGGCGCCCGCCUGACGCAGCGACGCCGCGUGAGGGAUGAAGGUCUUCGGAUCGUAAACCUCUGUCAGCAGGGAAGAACGGUCACUGUGCUAAUCAGCAGUGAAUUGACGGUACCUGCAAAGGAAGCACCGGCUAACUCCGUGCCAGCAGCCGCGGUAAUACGGAGGGUGCGAGCGUUAAUCGGAAUUACUGGGCGUAAAGCGCUCGUAGGCGGUAUGUCAAGUCAAGGGUGAAAUCCCCGCGCUCAACGUGGGAACUGCCUUUGAA
rnacentral:rRNA from 1 species